AUGUGGAAGAAGAAAUCUAUAUUCUGGGAGCUAGAAUAUUGGAAAGUCCUAGAAGUCUGCUCUGCAAUCGACGUGAUGCACGUUACGAAGAAUAUUUGCGUGAACCUCCUAAGCUUCUUGGGCGUGUAUGGGAAGACAAAUGAUACAAAGGAAGCACGGCAGGACCAGCAACGUUUGAAAGACCCUGAUGACCGGCAUCCGGAAUGGUUUCAAGGUCGUGCCAGCUACGCUCUGACCAAAGAAGAGAAGGUCAUCUUUUUUGAAUGCCUGAGCAGUAUGAAGGUCCCGUCUGGAUUCUCGUCCAAUAUAAAGGGAAUAAUAAACAUGGCGGAGAAAAAGUUCCAAAACCUGAAGUCUCACGACUGCCACAUGAUUAUGACGCAAUUGCUUCCGAUUGCUUUGAGGGGGCUCCUGCCGGAAAAUGUUCGA
rnacentral:rRNA from 1 species